AUUGUCAUUGCACCUUGUACAACGAAAUCAAACACCAUCUUCAGUGUACAUCAUGACCAUGAAAAUAAACACAAGCACACUUCUUUCACACUCCACUUUGAAUUGAAACCCACCGACACUGCACCAACAGUGCACUAUACAGUAGAAUUCAAUAGAGUUACUGCCCUGGGAUAGAAGCUGUUUUUCAGCCUAUUUGUCUUUUUUUUAAUUAUCCUGUACCGUCUUCCAGAUGCCUCGGUGAUGCA